rnacentral:rRNA from 1 species
GGCUCAAGCCGAUAGAAGGGGGAGGCAAUAACAGGUAUGUGAUGAAAGUAGAUGUUCUGGGCCGCACGCGCGCUACACUGACGGAGCCAAAGAGUACUACCUUGACCGAAAGGCCCGGGUAAUCUUGUGAAACUC